AUUGCCCUACCUGUCUGUGGAGAAUGUGUUCGAAGACCUCCAGUGGGUGCCUAAACCAAGAACCAAACCCUAUAUAUCCUAUGCGUUUUCCUAAUAUACAUACCUAGCAUAACGUUUAAUUUAUAAAUUAAUCACAAUAAGUGGUUAACAACAAUAAUAAUAAAAUAGAACAAUUAUAACAAGAUACUACAAUAAAGUUUAAGUAAAUGUUGUCUUUCCCUCUGCCCUUCUUCUCCUUGUGAUGAUACGAGGGGUUAAAAUAAAAUGAGGUGAGUGACAGGAGUAUUGUGACAGAGCUGUAAGCUCCUAUUGACCUUCUGAGAAUACAGAAGGGCGUCAGAAGGAGGAUCAUUUGCUUGCAGACCACGGUUGACCAUGGGUAACUGAAACCAUGGCUUCACUCUCUGCUGAUGGGAGGGGGGGAUACUGUAUUAAGAAAUAAUUCUUAAAAAAAUGAAAAAUGAAAAAUAAAAAAUAAAGAAAUCAUUCUAUCAGUGUGCCACGCAUUACCCUGUGAUGCUCCUGUUUCAGAGAAGAGAGAUACUGUGGUUGGAAGGCCCAACAUGGCUGCAGCAAACAAAACAGUAGAUGUCUUGAGUUUAAAGAGCGUGGAAAAUGUUACCCUGGUAACAUUAUCUAAUAAAUCUUGCGAAUAAUACACAGAGUAGACAGUAUAAUUCUGGCUUUCUGUGUCCACAGGGAUCAAGACGAGAAGGGGAAUAGUGGUUCAAGAAGAAACAGCUGGAGUGUGCAGUGCUAUCAUUAAGGACCCCUGGGCUAACCCAGAAGUGCUCAACGGGAGAUUUGGCGGCUGCUGCUUAAAUGAGUAGGUCCCUGUACAGAAGGAAACAGCAUCUGGUGCAGCCCCUCUUCAGGGCUGAAGAUCAAGCGCCUGCUCCGCUGGAGGCCUUCUAGGAUCCCGCUACCUCCCUGGGCUGCAGCAGGUCAGACUCCCUUGGCCUGGUUAACGUCUGGUGAUCCAUCACCAACUGGACACCCGGAACCUUCUUGAGCAAACCGUCCUGCCAGGGGGUGGCCUUUGCUGCUGCGCUGAGGCCAAGGAGCAGGGGCCUGCUGGACGAGAACCCGGAGGCCACGGGGCCAACGCCGCUGGAGGACGGCUGGCAUGUGCAUCGGCGGGGUCUGAAGCUCCCGUGUGUGUGUGCGUGUGUGUACGGAGGCGGGGGGGGGGGGGACACAGGCCGAGGGAGAGACGGCCUACCCUGUACUCAUCCAUUCGUUCAUUCCUGCAACAGACACUUGUUGAGCCAAAGUGCCGGGGGCUGGGGACAAGAUGAGCACAGAAAACAGCGACCCUCCCUGCCCUUGAGCUUAUCAUCUCCUAAGAAAGGACAGUAUGACUCAAAUAAUAAAAAAGAGAUGACACACAGUAUCGUCUGCUGGAGAAUGCUCGGAUGAUGAUCGUUGGGGUGAAAAGGGGGUGCAAGAAGGACUCCCAGCACACGAUACAUCGGCCUCAGUUCUGAUUUUCCCAUGUGGGCGACCUGACUUGGGGCUGGGCCGUGACCCUGGGCCGAUCGGGACCCAUCGUUGCCAAGAGCCUCAGUAAAGGGCCACUUGGCACUCUGCGAAGCGUGCGGGACGGCACACUAGGGCCCGUGCUCCACGCCAGCCUCACCGCAGGGCAGAGAGGACGUCUUUUUUGGCCAAAUAUCUGCCCGAGCUCUUC
ensembl:lncRNA